AUUCACUGGAGGCAGCCACAACUAACGAGUGGGUGUUAAUGCUUGAGACUAAACGUCUCGCCUUCAAGCUACUUUGCUGGAGGUUCCCUUGGCCAUCUCCCGCUCUCUAAUGAUCAUCCCCGGGUCUCCCUGCAAUGUAUAAGAGAACUGAGGCUCGGACAGAAAGAAUGACGUUACCGAAAGUGGCUUUGCUUCUGCCUUGCCAGCCCAUUGCGCACUGCCUGCCGUGGUUCCAGCCCUCGCUGCCUCUCUUGACUAGCGUAGACCUGCCAUUGCGCCAGGCUCCCAUCGCUGCCAUGGCAUUUGGCUGAGCCUGGGCAACGCGAAAGCAUGCAUAGUUAACGCUCCUGACUGUGUGAAACCCUUUGUCGCGGCACCGGCUCUGCGAGGGACCCAGGGCCCGGGGCUUGGCAAGGGCCCGAGACAUUUCUUGGAAUGGUUUCUUGUUCAUCACUGACACUCGUAAUGAGAAAUUUAUACACCAUCCUAAGCGGAUAAAUUAAUUUCAAACACUUUAGACUUUGGAAGACAAUGGUUCCUGGCAGGACCCUUUAUCACCCAUUUUAUUAAAAAAAAAAAAAAAAAGAAAGAAAGGGGAGAGAAAAAAAACCCUCGGGACAUUGCAAACAAAACCCCUCUGCCCGGCUCUGGAGCUCACUGUCCAGGGCUGGGAGGACCCGCUCGGUCCCCAUGUGGGCCUGGGGCCUGUGGGUCACUGUGAAACUUCAUUAAAGGGUGUGCAGCUCCCCGGGCUGUCCCCUCACCCCUGCGGAGCACAGCUUCCGCUCACCCCUGGCUCCGUUUGAAGUUGGCAUUCUGGCCAAGGAGUUGGAUUUCUCAGGCUGCGUUUGUGAAAGGUAAUUAAAUUGUGAUAAUGUUUCCAUUCAGACCCUGGCUUGGGUGAAGCUUGGGGACUCGUCAGACAGGCAUGUUCUCGCUGUCCACCAAACACGCAGGCCAGCCUGGCGAGAGUCCCUGCCAGGGCCCAGGGGGGUUUCCUGAGCUUCCCACCCAGCUGGGGACUGGCCUGCUCCAGCCAUGUGCAAGGGAG
rnacentral:lncRNA from 1 species